rnacentral:rRNA from 1 species
GACGAACGCUGGCGGCGUGCUUAACACAUGCAAGUCGAACGAAGUGGCGAACGGGUGAGUAACGCGUAAUCAACCUGCCCUUCAGAGGGGGACAACAGUUGGAAACGACUGCUAAUACCGCAUACUGAAGGAGGGGAUUGCGUCUGCUUAGCUAGUUGGAGGGGUAACGGCCGACCAAGGCGAUGAUCAGUAGCCGGUCUGAGAGGAGGAACGGCCACAGUGGGAAGUAGACACGGCCCAGACUCCUUCGGGAGGCAGCAGUGGGGAAUUGUCCGCAAUGGACGAAAGUCUGACGGAUCAACGCCGCGUGAUUGAUGAUGGCCUUCGGGUUGUAAAGCUCUGUUAAUCGGGACGCGGUACCGGAAUAGAAAGCCACGGCUAACUACGUGCCAGCAGCCGCGGUAAUAC